rnacentral:rRNA from 1 species
GACAGAGGGUGCAAACGUUGUUCGGAAUUACUGGGCGUAAAGCGCGUGUAGGCGGUCGUGCAAGUCGGGUGUGAAAGCCCGGAGCUCAACUCCGGAAGUGCAUUCGAUACUGCAUGGCUAGAGUCCCGGAGAGGGUGGUGGAACUCUCGGUGUAGAGGUGAAAUUCGUAGAUAUUGGGAAGAACACCGAUGGCGAAGGCAGCCAUCUGGACCGGCACUGACGCUGAGGCGCGAAAGCGUGGGGAGCAAACAGG